rnacentral:lncRNA from 1 species
AGAACUGACACAAAAAGAUGAACUUGAGGAUGAACUGCAUUUCAAAUAUAUAUCUUGUGACCCUAGUCUUGUCAUUGGGAGUUGCAGCCACAUCUCUUGGCCUUCUUCUAUAGCUAAUACAUUUGAUGGGUAUUAUUGUCUUCUAUUUAUUAGUGUCACUGAUAAAGAUUUUAUCGGCAAAACAGCUACCUGUACACUAAGUGUGGGAAGUGCUAAAAUUGCUACAGCGUGCUCGCUAUCCUUGAGGUGGUCAGAUGUGCGUUUCGUUGGACGGUUUCGGACCAGACAGCUAUGAAAAGGCUCGAUGUCAGAAUCUUCCAGACCAGUCUUUUGGUAAUCACUGCCAUUUUACUAUUCAUUACAACAAUAGUGGUGUCAGCUGGCUGAGGAAAGACGUGUACUAAUUUCCGUAAAUCAGCAGACUAUGCUCACAUUUCUUGCAGCGGUCGUUCUAUAGGAUCAUUUCAUGGGCAAGAAGUAAUAGCAUCAGCUGUAUGUGCUGGUUUGGGUUUCUUCUUAACUGUAUCUGAACUUGUUUUCUUCAUCAUUAUGCAAAGAAUGGGACUCAAUUAACUAUUACUCAAAGCAACGAAGUUAGUGAUGGAACUGAUGAAAAUGAAGAUGAAAUUAAUGCUACUACUAAUAACAGCAGAUUAAAUUUAUAUUUUUGGUAAACAAAUUUUAUUGAUAUGUAUAAAUUAACGUUUGCCUUUUAUUUCUGCACCAUUCAUUCCAAAUUUGACAUGUAUUAAUUUUUAUUAUUGUUGUUGUAAUCAGUAUAUUCAUAUUAUUUAUAAUGGUAUCAAUGCCAAA